CCAGACUCCUACGGGAGGCAGCAGUGGGGAAUAUUGGGCAAUGGGCGCAAGCCUGACCCAGCAACGCCGCGUGAAGGAAGAAGGCUCUCGGGUUGUAAACUUCUUUUAUCAGGGACGAAGCAAGUGACGGUACCUGAUGAAUAAGCCCCGGCUAACUACGUGCCAGCAGCCGCGGUAAUACGUAGGGGGCGAGCGUUGUCCGGAAUGACUGGGCGUAAAGGGUGUGUAGGCGGUUUAUUAAGUUAGAAGUGAAAUACCUAGGGCUUAACCCAGGUGCUGCUUCUAAAACUGAUAGACUUGAGUGCAGUAGAGGAAAGUGGAAUUCCUAGUGUAGCGGUGGAAUGCGUAGAUAUUAGGAGGAACAUCAGUGGCGAAGGCGACUUUCUGGACUGUAACUGACGCUGAGGCACGAAAGUGUGGGGAGCAAACAGGAUUAGAUACCCUAGUAAAA
rnacentral:rRNA from 1 species